UUUCUCCCUCUUCACCUACGUUUUCUCUCUCCUCUGCGGUCGCCGUUUCUUCUUCACCGCCGAAUCUCUCCGCCAUUGCGUAGUUUCUCAUUGAUGUUGGGGGGUUGAUUGUUGCAGUAGCUCCACCCUCCAUCUCACUUGUCUUUGCGAUCUCCCUCGUCUCCAGUCACUGCGUUCUCCCUCGUCUCCAGUCUGUACCGCCGCCGCCAACGGUGGUCCUGAAUCCACCACCAACUAGGCAGAGAUGAAGAAUAGACCAGAAGAUUCGAGUCACCCUAAUUUGAAGAAAUCAUUCAACUAUUCAGGUGAAUUAAGUUGCCCAUGGCCGAAGUGUGUUGGGUUUAAUCGGGUGGGGUCUGCAUCAGCUGCUACAACAACAUUUUUGGCUCUUUGAGUGAGUCGAGUGACCACGUUUAAUGCUAACGCAUACAAUCAGAUGGGUUCUGCAUCUGCUCUACAUCACCGUCUUUGGCUCUUGGAGUGACAAAGUUGAGAGGUGUUUGCAUGACAUCUUCGCUAUUUGGUAAAUAUGAAGAUGGGGACAUCGUGAAUAAGUUACAAGAGAUGUAUGAGGUACUCAAAAAUUCGAGGGAGGAGCCUUUCACGAUUGAAGAGAUAAAUGAAGUUCGAGAAAAGUUGGCAAACUUCAUUUCUAGUGAUUGUCUUUGAUAUUUUCUUGUAGUGAAUUUUAGUAUUGUUUUUGAUAUUUCCUUGUAAAGAAUUUUAGGUUACGGAUGCUAGUUUUUUAUGACUGUUAUGUAAUCGAGAUUUCAACUGUACAAUUUAAUUAUCUAUAU